rnacentral:lncRNA from 1 species
GUUUAGUUAGUUCUAGGUUUCUAUAUUGACAUGUAUUACUGAGAAUACAUUCAACUGCAGGUGCCUAACAAAUUGCAGCUUAAACAAAUAAAAAUGUGUUCUUGUCACUUUAUAAGAAAUGAAGGAAAAUGGUUGAUGGUAUUGGUUCAUUGAUUUGGGGGCUGGUAUCUGUGAUUCCCUUGGCCUUCUUCUCAUCAUGAAAAGCUGGCUACUUCAUUCAAUAUCAGGAUGUGGCACUGAGUAGGGAGUUUAUCUUCAUGUACCUUUCUCCUACCAGAGAGAAAAACUAUCUCCCAGAAGCUUCCUAGGCAAUUUUACCUAAUAUCUCACAGGCAGAUGUAUCAGUCAGCUGAACAAACAACCACAAAAUUAUCUCAGGGACAAGCAACAAUACAUGUUUAUUUCUUUCUCAUAUUUCUGCAGGUCGGCUGGGAUUUCUCUACUUUAGGUUGCAAGUUUUGGCAGGUCAUCCAGGGAAGCUGCUCCACUCCAUGUGUCUCUUAUUCUUGUGUGACCUGAGCUACCCAGGGCAUGCAUUCUCAUGGUAAAGGUCAAAAGCUCCCUGAAGGGCAAGCCUAGGUUUGGAAUUGACACACUAGUCCUGCUGCCCAUAUUCAUUCCAAGGUCAAAAUCAAAGUUGCAGGAAAGUAUACUCUUCUCAUGGAGGUCAUGGGAAGGGGGUAAAUAUUUGCUGAAGGGCAAUCUAUUCUGCCACAAAAGGACUGGAUUGAGGCCGAUUCCUAGGCUGGAGGUGACCUUGACCUUCCCAGAAGCUAAAAGAUAUUUAUCGAAAACACACAAAACAUUUAUCCAAAACUACUGAUAUAGUUUGGAUCCCUUAUCAAUGGCUUGGUGCCCUUCCCACAGUAAUGAGUGAGUUCUCACUCUAUUAAUUCACAUGAGAGCUGAUUGUUUAAAAGAGCCUGGCAUCUCUCUUGCUCCCUUUCUUGUCAUGUGACAUGCCCGCUUCCCCUUCACCUUCCAUGAUGAUUGUAAGCUUCCUGAGGCUUCACCAGAAGCAGAUGCCAGCACUGUGCUUCUUGUACAGUCUGCAGAACCAUGAGCCAAACUAAACCUCUUUUCUUUAUAAAUUACCCAGUCUUGGGGUAUUUCUUUAUAACAAUGCAAAAUGGACUAACACAGCUGCUAACAAGGAAGAAAGAGGUAAAUGGCUUUUAGAUAGGCAAGGAACAGUGUUAAUAGUGUCUGCUAUAAGGUGGGGUUGU